rnacentral:lncRNA from 1 species
CCCACGCGGCUCCAUCAUGCUCUGGCAAGUCGUAACAACGGGCAUCACUCCACUCUCCACAACAGGAUCCACGUGGCAGGCCACGGCGAUGGCCACAAUUCCACUCCACUACUCUCCGUAACAAACUCCUCAUGUCCCCGAACGGCCCACUACCAGGCGGUUACAGACGUCACUGUCAAUCUAUUACGCCCUCCACCUAUAAAAAGGAGACCCCC